UACGUAGGGGGCAAGCGUUGUCCGGAAUCAUUGGGCGUAAAGCGCGUGUAGGCGGCUCGAUAAGUCCGUUCUGAAAGUCCAGGGCUCAACCCUGGGAUGCGGAUGGAUACUGUCGAGCUCGAGUCCGGAAGAGGCGAGUGGAAUUCCUGGUGUAGCGGUGAAAUGCGUAGAUAUCAGGAAGAACACCCGUGGCGAAGGCGGCUCUCUGGUACGUGACUGACGCUGAGACGCGAAAGCGUGGGGAGCGAACAGG
rnacentral:rRNA from 1 species